CACGUAGGGGCCUAGCGUUGUCCGGAUUUAUUGGGCGUAAAGAGCUCGUAGGUGGUUCGGUAAGUCGGAUGUGAAAUCUCCAGGCUCAACCUGGAGGGGUCAUUCGAUACUGCCGUGACUAGAGGUCGGUAGGGGAGUGUGGAAUUCCUGGUGGAGCGGUGAAAUGCGCAGAUAUCAGGAGGAACACCCGUAGCGAAGGCGGCACUCUGGGCCGAUACUGACACUGAGGAGCGAAAGCGUGGGGAGCGAACAGG
rnacentral:rRNA from 1 species